rnacentral:rRNA from 1 species
GAUGAACGCUGGCGGCAGGCCUAACACAUGCAAGUCGAACGAGAAGCCAUCUUCGGGUGGUGGACAGUGGCAGACGGGUGAGUAACGCGUGGGAACGUGCCUUUCGGUUCGGAAUAACCCAGGGAAACUUGGGCUAAUACCGGAUACGCCCUUCGGGGGAAAGAUUCAUUGCCGAAAGAUCGGCCCGCGUCGGAUUAGCUAGUUGGUGGGGUAAUGGCUCACCAAGGCGACGAUCCGUAGCUGGUCUGAGAGGAUGACCAGCCACACUGGGACUGAGACACGGCCCAGACUCCUACGGGAGGCAGCAGUGGGGAAUAUUGGACAAUGGGCGAAAGCCUGAUCCAGCCAUGCCGCGUGGGUGAAGAAGGCCUUAGGGUUGUAAACCCCUUUCAGCGGGGAAGAUAAUGACGGUACCCGCAGAAGAAGUCCCGGCUAACUCCGUGCCAGCCGCCGCGGUAACAC